ACGAACCUCUGGAGAGAUAGUCUUAGAUGGCUGCACCGAAGGAGCAAAGGAAUAAUUCCCUAAACUCUCAGGUAAAAGAACAGAGAUUG
rnacentral:ncRNA from 1 species